AGCUCCAAUAGCGUAUAUUAAAGUUGUUGCAGUUAAAAAGCUCGUAGUUGGAUUUCUGGGAGGGUGCCAAUGUCCGCUGUUACGCGUGCGCAGCGGCGCCCUUCCAUCCUUCUGUUAACGCCUCUUGGCAUUCAUUUGCUGGUGGCGGGCUCAGAUAUUUUACCUUGAGAAAAUUAGAGUGUUUCAGGCAGGCUAGGCCGGAAUACAUUAGCAUGGAAUAAUGGAAUAGGACUACGGUCUCUUUGUUGGUUUGAGGGACUGCAGUAAUGAUUAAUAGGGAUAGUUGGGGGCAUUAGUAUUUAAUUGUCAGAGGUGGAAUUCUCAGAUUUGUUAAAGACUAACUUAUGCGAAAGCAUUUGCCAAGGAUGUUUUCAUUA
rnacentral:rRNA from 1 species